ACGUAGGGGGCAAGCGUUGUCCGGAAUGAUUGGGCGUAAAGGGCGCGUAGGCGGCAUGGUAAGUCUGGAGUGAAAGGCGUGCUUUUAAGGUGCGAAUUGCUUUGGAAACUGUCGGGCUUGAGUGCAGGAGAGGUAAGUGGAAUUCCCGGUGUAGCGGUGAAAUGCGUAGAGAUCAGGAGGAACACCAGUGGCGAAGGCGACUUACUGGACUGUAACUGACGCUGAGUCGCGAAAGUGUGGGUAGCAAACAG
rnacentral:rRNA from 1 species